GGUGAACGCUGGCGGCGUGGAUGAGGCAUGCAAGUCAAGGGGCCGCAAGGCACCGGCAGACGAGGUAGUACAACAUAGGAAUUCACCGAGAAGUCUGGCAUAGCUCGUCGAAAGACGGGGUAAUUCCAGAUAGUCCCUCCGGGGUAAAGGCGCAAGCCGCUUCUUGAGAAGCCUGUGCAGCAUCAGCUAGUUGGUAAGGUAAAGGCUUACCAAGGCUGUGACGCUUAGGGGACCUGAGAGGGUGACCCCCACCGAUGGAACUGAGAUACGGUCCAUACACCUACGGGUGGCUGCAGCCGAGAAUAUUCGACAAUGGACGAAAGUCUGAUCGAGCGACGCCGCGUGAUUGAUGAAGUCCUUCGGGACGUAAAGAUCUUUUAUGGGUGAGAAAGUUAUUGAUGUUAGCCCAUGAAUAAGAGGCUCCUAACUCUGUGCCAGCAGGAGCGGUAAUACAGAGGCCUCAAGCGUUACCCGGAAUCACUGGGCGUAAAGGGUGUGUAGGCGGUUAUGUUAGUCUUUCGUGAAAGAUCUUGGGCUUAACCCAGGAGACGCGGAGGAAACGGCAUGACUUAGAGGAUGUGAGGGGUAAAGGGAACUCAUGGUGUAGGGGUGAAAUCCGUUGAUAUCAUGGGAACACCAAAUGCGAAGGCACUUUACUGGCACACUCCUGACGCUGAAACACGAAAGCGUGGGAAUCGAACGGGAUUAGAUACCCCGGUAGUCCACGCCCUAAACGAUCCGAACUGGCUAUAAGGAGUAUCGACCCUCUUUGUGGCGAAGCUAACGCGUUAAGUUCGGCGCCUGGGUAGUACGAUCGCAAGAUUAAAACUCAAAGGAAUAGACGGGGACUUGCACAAGCGGUGGAUCAUGCGGCUCAAUUCGAUGACAAACGAAGAACCUCACCAGGGUUUGAAACCCAGACGAAAUCCUUAGGAAACUUUGGACCUCGCAAGACGGCUGGGCAGGUGAUGCAUGGUCGUCGUCAGUUCGUGGCUUGAGUUGUUCCCUUCAGUGGGGUAACGAACGCAACCCGCGUUGCCUGUUUUCUAUGUCAGGCGAGACUGCCCCCUCACGGGGGAGGAAGGUGCGGAUGACGCCAGAUCAGCAUGUCCCUCUAAUAUCCUGGGCUGCACGCAUGAUACAAUGCACUCAACAACGAGACGCAAUAGGGUAACCUGGAGCAAAUCUUUAAAUGAGUGCUCAAUUCGGAUUAAGGUCUGCAAUUCGACCUUAUGAAGCCGGAAUCGCUAGUAAUCGCGGGUCAGCUAUACCGCGGUGAAUACGUUCUCAAGUCU
rnacentral:rRNA from 1 species